GUUCGCGGCGACCAGUCGGUGAUUUCUGCUGUGGCAUCAUCAAGAUUCACACAAAUGCAUGCUAGCUUCGUCUAUGCCAUCCUUUCUCAUCUUUCGAUCUCGAUCUCGGCCCUAAUUAAGUAAUUAUACCCAAUUGUGGAUCGGCCGGAUUGGAGAUCGAUGGAUGCGUGGAGAGGAGCUAGAUUAGCUAUAGCUUAUGUGUGGGAAUCUUGAUGAUGCUGCAUCGGACAUCAGUGACUAAAACAAGUAUGGCA